rnacentral:tRNA from 1 species
CGGGGCGUGGCUCAGCUUGGCUAGAGCGCAGCGUUCGGGACGCUGAGGUCACAGGUUCAAAUCCUGUCGCCCCGACCA